rnacentral:rRNA from 1 species
AUUGAACGCUGGCGGCAUGCCUUACACAUGCAAGUCGAACGGCAGCACGGGAGCAAUCCUGGUGGCGAGUGGCGAACGGGUGAGUAAUAUAUCGGAACGUGCCCAGUCGUGGGGGAUAACGUAGCGAAAGCUACGCUAAUACCGCAUACGAUCUAUGGAUGAAAGCGGGGGAUCGCAAGACCUCGCGCGAUUGGAGCGGCCGAUAUCAGAUUAGGUAGUUGGUGAGGUAAGGGCGUCACCAAGCCGACGAUCUGUAGCUGGUCUGAGAGGACGACCAGCCACACUGGGACUGAGACACGGCCCAGACUCCUACGGGAGGCAGCAGUGGGAAUUUUGGACAAUGGGCGCAAGCCUCGAUCCAGCAAUGCCGCGGUGCAGGAUGAAGGCCUU